UUAAACAUUAGCCAUUAAAAGCUUUCUAAUUUAAGCAGCCGGCGUUAAUUAGCCCUGCUUGCUCGGCGUCAUGUUUUCCAUGAGCCUCCCUCAGCAGUUCCAGCUGCCCCUGGUGCUCGGUAACACUUUCACUGCUGGGCACCAGCCUUCCCCUCCUGGCUGCCAAGUGGAGAAAGCAGCAGGAGCUCAACACCUUUAUCUCCAGGAGCAUCAGCAGCCUGCUGGAAACAUCUCCCUUUACAGCUCAGCUGAGGAGCAUCCAGUGGGAUCAGGUUCUCGUUAAAGUAACUCCAACAAUUACUCCUGGAAUUGUGUGAAGCCUGGUUGUUCCUCCAGCUGUGAUAAUGCCACAGACAUGGACCACCCCGCCAGCCUGUCAGCUUUAAAAUAUUACUCCUGGAAUAAUGAAAAAUUGCCAGUUUCUCACUAUGGCUCCAUGAUUUAUGUGCAGUUCCUCAGAGAUUGAUCAGUUGGUUUGUUUCCUUACCUGGAAUGAAUGAUGAAUAUUUUAAAAAACACUUAAUGCUGGAUCUGGUGCAAAUGAGAUAAUUUUACAGUGACUUGUUUGGUUGUUUCCAGAAUAAUUGGACAUUAUUACCUGCCCACCAUGCGUGAACUAUGGGUCUCUGGAGGGGCUAAAUGCCUUCAGUGGAUGUUUCCUUAAUUUUUCCAUGGAGUUCAUCUGCUCUGCUCCUACAGGAGCUUUUACCAGAUGGUUCUCCAGCCCUGGAAUGACAUUUCAGGUUUUCCAUCUAUUACUCACCAAUGGAAAAUGAAACAAUUUUGAUUUGUAACUUUGGACUGACUCACUUCUGUACCUGCACUAAGGAAUUGUGUCCAGAGGGUCCCAGGGAGGUGGAACUGGGAAGGAAUUUGCUCUUACCUGGAGCGUGAUCAGCGCAAUAUUGAAGAGAAAAACUUCCUCUUCUUUAUGAUGGGAGAACAAAGAAUGGUUUUAAAGGCUGCUCCUGGCAAUUAAAACAGUUUGGUAUCUACCCCAAGUGGAAUUUUUAAAAAAUUUUUGAAGAAUCCAUUAUAAUUUGGAAUUUCUCCUGGGAGAAAACCAGAAAAAGAGGUCACCUCACCUUUGGUGAUUUUUGG
rnacentral:lncRNA from 1 species